rnacentral:lncRNA from 1 species
CCCAAGUGCUGGUAUGGUGUUUGUUAAGCCUGGCCUUUGUGAAGCUCCCUGGGGUCUCCCUAGAAAUGCAAGCACACAGCAGAGUGGAUGAGCGAUGUAACAAGCUGUCCCUCCGUGGGGCACGGAGAGACACAGCAGCAAGGAUAGCUCCUGUAUUCUACCAAGUUUCCUGACCAAUUUCCCGCCUCUCAAUGAAGACACUGAGUACCAGGUCGGACUGACUACACAGAUAUUUCUUCAGUUUCUGAAACUUGUCAAGAGUCUUUCCAUAUUUGGAACAUUGCACAUCAGGAUAUAUCUGGUAGCCACCCAGCCUGCCCCCGCCAACCUUCCUUGAACCCUUCAGAGCUCAUGCCCAGGAAGCAUCUUCUAAGCGGUGCUGUCAGUGAGAGUUCUUUUUAGAUGCCAAUUAACCAGACUCCAUGAUGUGCUUCAAAUCAGAUAUGCUGCACCCUCACUCCUGAUCGAGUCAAGUCGUAACCAGAUUCUACUUCCUGCUCUAGUUCACUGAAGAGAAUUAACAUUGUCUAUAUAGGC